AAGACUUUACUUUCAGGGAUCAUUUCUGUAGUUUGUUACUAGAGAGGUUUCUCUGACUGUGUAGAGCACUGGGGAGACCACGAAGAUGAGACAUAGCCUUCCCUCCUGAGCGUGAAGCCGGCUCUAGGUGCUGCUUUUCUACAGCUGCCUCCAGCCAUUGAUGAUGAUAGGUCUUCUCUUCCUUUGGGAGAGCGAGAGGGAGGGAACACAGUCUGAGUGGG